CCCCUUAGACGUUCUGGGCCGCACGCGCGCUACACUGACCAGUGCAACAAGCAUCCGUCCUUGGCCGACAGGCUCGGGCAAUCUUUGAACGCUGGUCGUGAUGGGGAUAGACUUUUGCAAUUUUUGGUCUUCAACGAGGAAUUCCUAGUAAACGCAAGUCAUCAACUUGCAUUGAUUACGUCCCUGCCCUUUGUACACACCGCCCGUCGCACCUACCGAUUGAAUGGUCCGGUGAAGCCUCCGGAUUGGCGCGCACCUCGGUGCCGCCGAGAAGUUGGCUAAACCUUACCAUUUAGAGGAAGGUGAAGUCGUAACA
rnacentral:rRNA from 1 species